rnacentral:rRNA from 1 species
AGAGUUUGAUCAUGGCUCAGGACGAACGCUGGCGGUGCGCCUUAUGCAUGCAAGUCGAGCGAAGCUUUUCAGUAGUUUACUACAGAAAAUGACUGAGCGGCGAACGGGUGAGUAACGCGUGAGCAAUCUACCUUAGUUACAGGGAUAGCCCGAGGAAACUCGGAUUAAUACCUGAUAUUCUUUAUUUCUCGCAUGAGAAUAAAAGGAAAGGUCAGCCGAACUAAGAUGAGCUCGCGUUCUAUCAGCUAGUUGGUGAGGUAAAAGCUUACCAAGGCUACGACGGAUAGCUGGUCUGAGAGGACGAUCAGCCACACUGGGACUGAGACACGGCCCAGACUCCUACGGGAGGCUGCAGCAGGGAAUAUUGUGCAAUGAACGAAAGUUUGACACAGCGACACCGCGUGUGGGAUGACGGAUCUAGGUUUGUAAACCACUCUCAGGAGGGAAGAAAAUGACGGUACCUCCACAAGAAGCCCCGGCCAACUACGUGCCAGCAGCCGCGGUAAUACGUAGGGGGCGAGCGUUGUCCGGAUUUAUUGGGCGUAAAGAGCUCGUAGGCGGUUCAACAAGUCGGUCGUGAAAGUUCAGGGCUCAACCCUGAAAUGUCGAUCGAUACUGUUGUGACUAGGAUACGGUAGAGGUGAGUGGAAUUCCGAGUGUAGCGGUGAAAUGCGUAGAUAUUCGGAGGAACACCAAUUGCGAAGGCAGCUCACUGGGCCGCUAUCGACGCUGAGGAGCGAAAGCUAGGGGAGCAAACAUGAUUAGAUACCCUGGUAGUCCUAGCUGUAAACGAUGGAUACUAGAUGUAGGAACUGGAUUGACGGUUUCUGUAUCGCAGCUAACGCGUUAAGUA